GGAUCAGUGGCGAACGGGUGAGUAACACGUGAGCAACCUGCCCCUGACUCUGGGAUAAGCGCUGGAAACGGCGUCUAAUACUGGAUAUGUGACGUGACCGCAUGGUCUGCGUUUGGAAAGAUUUUUCGGUUGGGGAGGGGCUCGCGGCCUAUCAGCUUGUUGGUGAGGUAAUGGCUCACCAAGGCGUCGACGGGUAGCCGGCCUGAGAGGGUGACCGGCCACACUGGGACUGAGACACGGCCCAGACUCCUACGGGAGGCAGCAGUGGGGAAUAUUGCACAAUGGGCGAAAGCCUGAUGCAGCAACGCCGCGUGAGGGAUGACGGCCUUCGGGUUGUAAACCUCUUUUAGCAGGGAAGAAGCGAAAGUGACGGUACCUGCAGAAAAAGCGCCGGCUAACUACGUGCCAGCAGCCGCGGUAAUACGUAGGGCGCAAGCGUUAUCCGGAAUUAUUGGGCGUAAAGAGCUCGUAGGCGGUUUGUCGCGUCUGCUGUGAAAUCCCGAGGCUCAACCUCGGGCCUGCAGUGGGUACGGGCAGACUAGAGUGCGGUAGGGGAGAUUGGAAUUCCUGGUGUAGCGGUGGAAUGCGCAGAUAUCAGGAGGAACACCGAUGGCGAAGGCAGAUCUCUGGGCCGUAACUGACGCUGAGGAGCGAAAGGGUGGGGAGCAAACAGGCUUAGAUACCCUGGUAGUCCACCCCGUAAACGUUGGGAACUAGUUGUGGGGUCCAUUCCACGGAUUCCGUGACGCAGCUAACGCAUUAAGUUCCCCGCCUGGGGAGUACGGCCGCAAGGCUAAAACUCAAAGGAAUUGACGGGGACCCGCACAAGCGGCGGAGCAUGCGGAUUAAUUCGAUGCAACGCG
rnacentral:rRNA from 1 species